GCCCACUCCGCCAUUUUCCUCCGGAAGUGUGGCACCCAGAGGCGGUCCUGUAGCUGGGCCGGCUUGGGGCUUGGUUCUAUGUCCCUGUGGGUUGGUGCAAGGGCCAGGAGGAACCCGUGAGCCUCAGGGGAUCCCAGGGGGCCGGACCAGUGUUCCCUAGUUGUGGGAACAGACGCGUGGGCGCAUCGCGGGAGGGCAGGGCCUGAAGAGCAGCUAUGUUUCCAGUGUCCUCUGGGUGUUUCCAAGAGCAACAAGAAACGAAUAAAUCUCUGUUGAAGAGAUACCAUUUGAUAUUUUAGAGAUGCCUGCAUGCAAACUCUUAAAACAUUUGAGUAAGUACAGUGCAACAGGGAGACUCUUAUGACUGUUGGGAUAACACCAAGAAUUUGGUAUAUGCUCCUAACUCAGGGUCCCCAUAAAUCAAACCACCUAAAAUCAAAUAGAUUAAAGAAUGAAUUAGAUAAAGAGUUUACUUGCUUAACUAAGUGGGUUUUUUUGUUAAUUCCCUACAACCAAAUUUUUAUAAUACCCCAUGUUUUCUCCACAUGCUGUAAGUGUUAGCAGCUGCACAGAUACUUAAGAUAAGUGUCUCAUGAUAGUAGAGAAGUCUUGAUCUGUGAUCGUGGGAAAAGCUGUUCACAUUAAGGAUGCCAUCUUCUUCUGGGGGGAACUGUCCUUGUUAGCUUUACCUUAAGGGUUCCAAUGGGUAUAUGGUUCCAAGUGUGGAAGGACCUUUCUGAGUUGUGAGACUAUGAACCCAAAGUUUAAGGUUUUAAAGUUUUGCUGUCAUGUGGAUGGCAAGGGCAGUCCUUCUCUGAUGUUCUCAGAAGAUCCAGUCAUCAGAUUCCAGAUUUUGAAGGAGUUGACUGUCCUCAGCGAACCAUAAAAGGCUUUCUUUACCUGGUGAAAAUACACUUCAGGGUAAUAAUGUACUGUUUUAACAUCAACUCUCUCGCAUGGAAGAGCUUUUAUACAAUCAGAAAACAUGCACUGAAAAUGACAACUGAAU
rnacentral:lncRNA from 10 species